ensembl:lncRNA
AUGCAUCCAGCCCGUCCCNAAAUACUGAAAGGGGGGGGGGGGGGGGGGGGGGGAGGACGGAGCGAGCGGGGGCGCGGGGGACCCCCAGCCCCAAAGCGCCGCCCCCCUCCCCGGAGCAGCGCCGGAGCCGCCCGCGGUGCCCGAGGCCGUUGGGUUCGGGGGGGUCCCGUCCCGUGGGUGCCCCCACCCCGCCCUGACUCACGCGCUGCUCUCUGCCCGCUCCGCCCCCCCCCGCCCUGUUUGCUCUGUGGGGCGGGGAAGCGCUUCGUCCCGUUCCGCUCCGGGCGGGGUUUUCCCUUCGGGUGGGGUUUUUUGGGCCCCCGCCCCGAGCCGUCGGUUGCAGAGGGGCGGCCCGGAGCGCUCCCGCUGUUGGCUCCGCGGCCCCCCCCAGCCGAACGCACCCGAACCGUCCCUGGGGGGCAGCGCCCCACUCCGCGCGGGGAUGCGGCACCCGGAGGGACGCCCGUGGGACCCAAUGGGGACACCCGUGGGACCCCACUGAGGUCGCUUCGGACCGCCCAGGGCCCCCGCUGGGGGAUGUCCGGGGACACCCGUGGGACCCCAACGGGAACGUCCGUGGGAGCCCCAUCAAGGGUGCUCAGGGACACCCAUGGGACCCCAUUGGGGGAUGGCCGGGACCACCCAUGGGACCCCGUUGGGCGCACCCAUGGGACCCCCAUUAGGGAGGCUCAGAGGCUCCCAUGGGACCCCACCGGGGAUGUCCGGGGCCGCCCACGGGACCCCCUGGCCCUCCUCACCCGCAGCCAACACGCAGUACCAGGCUUGGUCACCCCGGCACCCCCAGGCUCCCAUCAGCUCCCCCCUCCCCCGCCGGGCCCCAUGGAGGGCGCCGUGCCCCCCCCGGGCUGCUCGGCCACGUGGAGGGAGGACGGCCAACGCCGGGAGCGGCGCUGGGUGAAGUACGACGGCAUCGGGCCGGUGGACGAGACGGGGCUGCCGCUGGCCUCGCGCUCCGUGAGUGGGGGCGGGGGGGGGGGGAUGCUCCAUGGNCCCCCUCAGUUCCGCAGGGAUUUGAACCUCCCCCGGAUCCUCCGGCGCUGCCCAACGGCUCGGAGCGGACCCCGUGGGGCGACGCCGGCGACACCGCGGAGCCGGGCAGCAUCUUUGACUUCGAGCCGGGCUCGGCGCCGGCGCGGGUGGGAGCUCAGCGCGGGGCAGCCCCCGGCAGUGCGGGCUGCGCGCACCGCGACCCCAGAUCGGCUCUGCAGCCCCCGGCGGCUGCGCCUGCACUGCAGCCCAUCGAGGUACGGCGCUGCCCAAAGCCCGGCGCCCUGCGGGGCGACAGCGGGGUGUGCUGCCCUAUGGGGUGACNGGGGACGUGCGGGGCUGGGGACACUCAAUGCCACGUGGGGCUGGGGCCAGCUGGAUGUCACCGGGGCUGGGGCCAGCCGGGGGCUCCGCGUUGGGCUGACCCGGCUCCAGUGGGAUCGGGGCCGCGCGGGGCCGGCUCGCUCAGUGCCGCCCCGGGGCGCCGCCGCGCAGGGAGCUGUCGCUGCGCAGGGGGGACGUCGUGCUGCUGCACCGCGCCGUGGACGCCAACUGGCUGCGGGGGGAGCAUCACGGCCGCGUGGGCAUCUUCCCCCGCUCAUACGUGGAGGUGCUGCCCCCCGGCCGAGCGCCGCGGCCGCAGCGUGGGACCCCAACGGCAGCGCAGGGCCGCGCGACCGCCGCCUUCAGCUUCAGCGGGGAGCUGCCCGUGGAGCUCUCCUUCCGCAGGGUCGGCGCCGCGACGGGGCGUGUGGGGCGGGCUGGGCCGUGCUGGGGCGUGUUGGGACGUGUUGGGGCAUGUUANCCCCACAGCUCUCAGCCCCACAGCCCCCCACCCCACAGCCCGCAGCCCCGCAGAUGGGCGCAGAGCAGGGCCGUGGUGACCCCGCUGUGCACCCGCCCUCCCCCCGGCACCUGGACUUCGCCCCCUGCCCGGCCCCACUGCUGCCCCACACCGGAUCCACCGCACCGAAGCCCUCUGCGGGGCCCCAUGAGCAGGUGAGCAGCCCUGUGCCCUCUGCCCUAGAGGGGCUGCCCCACAUCACCCUAUAAAUGAUGCCCCCCAUCACCUGUCCCUGUGCUGUAUAGGGGCUGCCCCACAUUGCCCUUAUAGGGGCAGCCUCAUACCACCCUAUAGGGGCAGCCCCGUACUAUUGUAUAGCAACAGCCCCAUAUCGCCCUAUAGAGGCUGCCCCAUAACACCCUAUAGGGGCAGCCCCUUAUCACCCUAUAGAGGCUGCCCCAUAACACCCUAUAGGGGCNCCUAUAUGGAGCCACCCACGGACCCUAUAUAGCGUCGCCUGGAGACCUAUAGGAUGGCCCCACCUGACGCCCCCAUCCGGCCCCACAGAUGCUCCCGUCGAGGCGCAGGGCUGCACCCCGCACCCCCCCCGCAGCGUUUACCGACGGCUGCACGACGACCCCCAGGGGAGCCCCGCCCCCC